rnacentral:rRNA from 1 species
GACGUAGGGCGCGAGCGUUGUCCGGAUUUAUUGGGCGUAAAGAGCUCGUAGGUGGUUUGUCGCGUUGUUCGUGAAAACCGGGGGCUUAACCCUCGGCGUGCGGGCGAUACGGGCAGACUUGAGUACUGCAGGGGAGACUGGAAUUCCUGGUGUAGCGGUGGAAUGCGCAGAUAUCAGGAGGAACACCGGUGGCGAAGGCGGGUCUCUGGGCAGUAACUGACGCUGAGGUGCGAAAGCGUGGGGAGCAAACAGG